rnacentral:tRNA from 1 species
GCCCGGGUGGCGGAAUGGUAGACGCGGCAGACUUAAAAUCUGUUGUACUCAGGUACGUGCGAGUUCGAGUCUCGCCUCGGGCA